rnacentral:rRNA from 1 species
UACGAACCGUCCAAACGUUGUUCGGAAUCACUGGGCUUAAAGGGCGCGUAGGCGGACUGCCAAGUCCGGGGUGAAAUCUUUCGGCUUAACCGGAAAAGGGCCUUGGAAACUGGCGGUCUCGAGGGAGGUAGGGGCCUGUGGAACUUCGGGUGGAGCGGUGAAAUGCGUUGAUAUCCGAAGGAACGCCGGUGGCGAAAGCGACGGGCUGGAUCUCUUCUGACGCUGAGGCGCGAAAGCCAGGGGAGCAAACGGG